UUCUCCUCGUCCCCUUCUCCCCAAUCCAUGAGAAGAGUGCUCCCCAUACUUGACCAGACCCCUCGUCGUCGCCACUCAAUUUUCCCUCUACAAGUACCCGCCCUUGAAUAUUUUAGCGGUUAUUUCUGUGUAGUUUGUAACAUUCCAAUACGUUGUUUGUAUUUUGCUUGUGCACGGCAAUUCUAUGACGGUGAAUCGGAGACAUCAGACUGCCCUUGCCAGAAGCUUAGUGGUGGGAAGAAGAAGCCUGUUUAGGUUUCGCGGUUGAGAGCAGCUGGAAGCAUUCAAUGGAGUCAGUUUUUGGAGUGUGGUUUGGUGACAGAACUGGAGAGGGGUUGGAAUUGAACUCCUGAAUGGAAUUGCUGCUUUGUUUCGAAUGGCUGGGGUUACUGAGCGUGGACAUGGAUGACUGCAUCAUUUUCGGUUGUAUGAUGGUACAAUUGUUUGAAGUUAAGUGUUGAGAGAGACGAUGGCUCGGUCGAAAGUUAAAAUUACGCCGCUUGGAAGGAGAGCACAGAACAAUCGACAGCGAUUAGAGGGUUCGGUGAGGAUCGCAGGUGGAGAGCAAGUUGGAAGGGACCAUGACGAGGAGAAUUGCCCCCCAAACCUUGACUACAAUGUUAUAGAGGAAAUCGCCAACGGUGUGGAGAAGAUGAUAUUGUCCUGGUCUCAUCUCGAUGAAGACGAGCAGGACCAUAAAAAAAGUACUGUGAAGAACGAGAACUUGACUCCAAAGAAUGAUGAUGUUUCCCGUGACGAUAGCCGAUCUCGAAAGAUGGAAAAUCCUGAGGCAGUUUGCGAGGACUCGAAAUAUAGUUGUGACUAUUAUUCGUGCAAACAGAUUCAAGAACUUCCGGAAGAGGGAGCAGUGAAGGUAGAAAUUCCUGGCGGCAUCACAAAUGAGAUAUCUUUGAGUGGUAUCUGCUCAGGAGGUAGAAUGGGGAAUGCAAUCAACAAGAUUAGAAACGAGGCCGAGAAGCACAGCGGUACGAUGAUGACUAGCGAUACACGACCAGAGAAGUCUCUGACAAAAACUGCCACACAUUGUUGCUUGGAAGCAAGCACUGCCCCAUUGGAUACGUGCAGUUUGAGUGUUUGUACCAACGAAUCAACAGGAAUCAAAAGUACAAGCGCGGGCAUUACUGAUGUCGAGGACUCGUCGCCUCAGGGUCUCCAUCAAAAGCGGGCCCGUGAGCCUAACAAACUACCAUGCACAGACAAUUCCACUUCGGGGCACUCUUCGAACACUCAAUCGUCCCCCCGAACACCUCCCAUCAGUGAGAGGUUCGCGAAGCGUGUGCAAAGUCGAGAGGACAUCUCCGAAAAGAAGCUACAGCUUUCCAUAAGCAAGAAAACAAGAUGGUCUGAGAAAGAUACAACAGCGCCGAUUAUUGGAGCAAGCUGCUCUGAGGACGAAGUUUGCACCAAGAGUCCACGGAGUGACUGCUCUCUGUCAGACCUCCUGUCGAAUUCAAACUGGAACGAUCCUCUAGUUGGCAGCCCAUGUCGAAAAUCUUCCCCUGUAUUGAUUGAUAGGAUCCAAGGUGAAGAAUUUGGCCCUUGGGACAAUGUUGCUGGUCGUCCCCCUGUCAUAGUUUCUCGAGUCACGGCAAGAUCCGAUUCAAAUUUAGAGAAUUGUGCCAAAGAGAAGACCAGCUUUGUCUCUUUCAAGCUAUGGAAAAGCAAGCAGAGCGAGUCGGGCCAUGAUGGCAUUGAAGAGACUGACUCAAACAAAGAGAAGCUGCAUCUAUCUCAAACAAUUGUUUCAGAAUUUCAUCAAGGCUCGCCUGAAGAUCACUCCAAAUGCCAAGACAGUGAAGCAGCCGAUUACACCCUAGUUACUUCUCCAACAUCUGACAUGCUGAAUAUCGGUGAUAGAAGUUGGGGGGAGAUGGAGAAGCUGCAGAUCUCUUUGCUCGAAUGUGCAACUGAGUACGAACUCAAGACGAUUGAGAUGAAACUGAAGCUCAAAAACAUCAAAAACUUGAAGGGUGAGCAACUGAUUAUCGAUCCUCAGCCGACGAUCUCGGAGAUACCAGAAGCAGACGUCGCCAGUACCAGAAAACCAACUGUUGCGGCAUCCACGGUGGAGAAGGUGAAGAGGCAAAUUUACAAGCUGCAGCAUCAAAAAGGGUGCCUGUCAAAGGAGCUGACAGAUUUGAAGAAAAAAGAAAAACAGUUUGAGCUGCAGAAGAAGAGCUUAGAUGCAGCGCUGCAUAAGCUGGACCGACUUGAGUGGGCGAUGGUGAAGAAGGAGCAGGAAGUGGAAGAAUGGCAGCUACGACAAAGGCAGGCUGAGGCGCAGCUGCGAGGUUCGGUGAUGGAGUUGCGAAGAUUUACCAACAUUAGCGAACUUGUAGGUCUUCCUGUAGAUGCGACUUCCUUGCUCUCUCUGCUUCCUACUUUGCGAGGCUUCGUACAGCUGUUGGCUCAGAAGUUUGGCAGGAGAAAGACGGAUAUCACAGUAAUGACAAAUCUCAGCGAGAGGACACUCUUCAUGAUUCCAUUGAAGUAGAUGAAAUCGUCUGUAAUUUGAUGCACGAGAUUCAGGGUUUGCAAACUGAGCUGAAUGGGAUGGUUACUGAAGAUUCGAAGCUUAAACGAAUUACCCCAAGGUUAACUAAUGGUGCGGGUAAAGAUCGUGGUACUCACAAAAAAUCUGUGCGGCCCUCCUUACGACUUCCAAGAGGCCGGUAUCCGUAUGGAAACCUUUGAUCAACCCAUCAAACUUUCGAAGAUCAUUUUUUUCUUUUUUUCUUUUUUGCCUCCAGGGAUAUGUUGGAACUGAGUGCAGCGAAGUGAAUGAGCUUAAAGCUUUAACAAAGUCAGCAUGUUACAACAAUUGGGAAGUGCUUGGGAGAGAAGAUACAAAAGCAUAAAAACUCAAGGUCUAUAUUAUCCGUUUUCAGUGUAAGAAAUCACACAAGCAUUGCGGACAACAAUAAUCCCACUCAACCUGCACUUACCCUAACGGUUCUUGUCACUCUUACCGCCAACCUAACAAAACGUAAUCUUCAGUAAAAAUAUUUGUUGGAGAAAGCAACAUAUCUCCAGUGAUCCGCGAAUUCAAGUACUUUCAACGGCAGUUACUUCAAGAUGUUAUAGAAUGUAGUUGCCCUCUUGCGCAAAGGUGUACAGACUUCCUGUAAGUACAAGCAACAGGCAUAGACUUAAGCAAUCAAAUGUAUGAAACAAAAACCUAAAAAAGCUUCAGACAUCCGCAAGAAUAUCUCUUCCAGCUUCAUAUAA